rnacentral:rRNA from 1 species
GACGAACGCUGGCGGCGUGCUUAACACAUGCAAGUCGAACGGAAAGGCCCUGCUUGCAGGGUGCUCGAGUGGCGAACGGGUGAGUAACACGUGGGUGAUCUGCCCCUUACUUUGGGAUAAGCCUGGGAAACUGGGUCUAAUACUGGAUAGGACCAUGCUGUAGGUGGUGUGGUGGAAAGAUUAGUUUCGGUAAGGGAUGAGCUCGCGGCCUAUCAGCUUGUUGGUGGGGUAAUGGCCUACCAAGGCGUCGACGGGUAGCCGGCCUGAGAGGGUGGACGGCCACAUUGGGACUGAGAUACGGCCCAGACUCCUACGGGAGGCAGCAGUGGGGAAUAUUGCACAAUGGGCGCAAGCCUGAUGCAGCGACGCCGCGUGGUGGAUGACGGCCUUCGGGUUGUAAACUCCUUUCAGCCAUGACGAAGCCCUUGUGGUGACGGUAGUGGUAGAAGAAGCACCGGCUAACUACGUG